rnacentral:lncRNA from 1 species
UCUGGGAAGGUGUAUUUGGUGAUGUGUAUUGCCGAAAAACGUGGUCACCUAGCUACAUCUCGUAUUUAAACGAGUGUUUUGGCCAUUUAAGCUUAUUUUUCUAUAGUAUAUCAACUGUACAUAUAUGUGCACCAAUCAAUUUGCAUUGACAACCCAUAAUGAGAAGAAAAUACCUCUUUGUAAAUAGAAUACACAUCGUGAGUCUAGUUUGUUUAC